rnacentral:rRNA from 1 species
UGGCGGACGGGUGAGUAAUGUCUGGGAAACUGCCUGAUGGAGGGGGAUAACUACUGGAAACGGUAGCUAAUACCGCAUAACGUCGCAAGACCAAAGAGGGGGACCUUCGGGCCUCUUGCCAUCGGAUGUGCCCAGAUGGGAUUAGCUAGUAGGUGGGGUAACGGCUCACCUAGGCGACGAUCCCUAGCUGGUCUGAGAGGAUGACUAGCCACACUGGAACUGAGACACGGUCCAGACUCCUACGGGAGGCAGCAUG